CCUGUACACACCGCCCGUCACACCACGAAAGCCGAUUGUACUUGAAGUCGCUGGGCUAACCCGUAAGGGAGGCAGGCGCCGAAGGUAUGGUUGGUGAUUGGGGUG
rnacentral:rRNA from 1 species